AUGCUGAGCACUGAGCUGCACCCGGAGCCCGGUUCCUGGAACCGUUUACUAGGGACCCAUAACCACUCGGGCCAGAGCAACCCGGACAGCAGCGAGAAGCAUGGAGCCGCAGGCGGAGGACGCGCGGGACGCCCGGUCCGCGGACUCGGGAGGGGCGGGCGGGCCGCCGCUCGUCGCCGGCGCCCGGGAGCCGCGCAGCGAGGAGCGCCUGUCGCUGCUGCUCAGGCUGAGAGCACAGACAAAACAACAGCUCUUAGAAUAUAAGUCGAUGAUAGAUGCAAGUAAGUAGUUUCAUUUUCACAUAAGCAUAUAUGAGUUUGAGAAUGAACAGUACCCUAUGGGAAAGGUCAACUUUACAAAACAUUGUCUGUAGCAAAACAUAAAAAAAAA
rnacentral:lncRNA from 1 species